GACGUAGGGCGCGAGCGUUGUCCGGAUUUAUUGGGCGUAAAGAGCUCGUAGGCGGUUUGUCGCGUCUGCUGUGAAAACCUAAGGCUCAACCUUGGGCUUGCAGUGGGUACGGGCAGACUAGAGUGCGGUAGGGGGUGACUGGAAUUCCUGGUGUAGCGGUGGAAUGCGCAGAUAUCAGGAGGAACACCGAUGGCGAAGGCAGGUCACUGGGCCGCAACUGACGCUGGAGGAGCGGAAAGCAUGGGGAGCGAACAGG
rnacentral:rRNA from 1 species